GACGAACGCUGGCGGCGUGCUUAACACAUGCAAGUCGAACGGAAAGGCCCUGCUUUUGUGGGGUGCUCGAGUGGCGAACGGGUGAGUAACACGUGAGUAACCUGCCCUUGACUUUGGGAUAACUUCAGGAAACUGGGGCUAAUACCGGAUAGGAGCUCCUGCUGCAUGGUGGGGGUUGGAAAGUUUCGGCGGUUGGGGAUGGACUCGCGGCUUAUCAGCUUGUUGGUGGGGUAGUGGCUUACCAAGGCUUUGACGGGUAGCCGGCCUGAGAGGGUGACCGGCCACAUUGGGACUGAGAUACGGCCCAGACUCCUACGGGAGGCAGCAGUGGGGAAUAUUGCACAAUGGGCGGAGGCCUGAUGCAGCAACGCCGCGUGCGGGAUGACGGCCUUCGGGUUGUAAACCGCUUUCGCCUGUGACGAAGCGUGAGUGACGGUAAUUGGUAAAGAAGCACCGGCUAACUACGUG
rnacentral:rRNA from 1 species